rnacentral:lncRNA from 1 species
CUCAGAGCCGUUCCCACUUCCACUCUUACUGAUAUUGGGCUCUAAGGAGUCCACUUUGAAGUGGACAAGACAAUCCCCCCCCCAAUUUUUUUUUUGUGUAGACCACUACUAUAAGAGUAGUUGCUGCUUUGAGCAUUCCUUGUAGAAGCUGUGGAAUAUCUGUCAUUGUUUUGGUGCUGUAUCAGAAUCACAAAUAGGCUGUACCUGAUGGAGGGGAGAGAGAGCAGAGCUGCUGAUGGACGAAUAGAGGCCUGCAUGGUUGUGAGGUUCCUCUGUCUGAGCUGUAGCACUGGCUCCUAUCUGGGUCUCAUCAGGCUGCUCCAGGCCUGAGAGGAGGAGGCAUGAGUGGAACAGGGCUAAGGAGUAAAUGAAAGAGCUCAAGGUCCAGAGGAGAGGAUGUGAUCUUUAGAAGAGGAUAACAGGUCCACAGCUGCUUGACGUCCUCUCACACAAGCCAGAGAUUCUACUGGGAAGGGACUGGUCAUACAGUAGUUAAG